AUGGAACGCAUGGCAGCCUCUUAUUUCCAGGAGGUGUAUACUAAGGAUCCUACCUUAGCUCCGGAUGCUUUGUUAGAUAUGAUAACGCCCAAGGUUACAGAUGCAAUGAAUGAAAGGUUGCUGGCACCCGUUUCAGAGAAAGAGAUCUCGGAUGCGCUCUUUCAAAUUGGCCCAUUGAAGGCACCCGGGCCUGAUGGGUUUCCUGCAAGGUUCUAUCAAAGGAAUUGGGGAGUGCUGAAAGAGGAAAUUGUGAAGGCGGUACAACAGUUUUUUAUGACUAGGAUGAUGCCUGACGGUGUAAACGACACGUCUAUUGUGUUAAUACCCAAGGUUCAACAUCCCUCCUCCCUAAAGGAUUUUCGCCCUAUUUCUCUAUGUAAUGUCAUCUACAAGAUAGUCUCAAAGUGCAUGGUAAAUCGUCUUCGACCACUCCUUACGGAGCUCAUAUCUGAAAAUCAAAGUGCGUUCAUCCUGGGAAGACCUAUUUCAGAUAAUUCCAUCAUUGCCUUUGAAUGUUUACACCAUAUACAAUCCAGUGCUGGAGGCAAUAAUUUUUGUGCAUACAAGUUGGAUCUUUCCAAAGCCUACGAUCGUGUUGAUUGGGUUUUCCUGGAGCGUGCUCUUUUAAGUGGGGUUUUGCGAGAGAUUGGGUCACCCAGGUCAUGGAGUGUGUGCGCUUGGUAA
rnacentral:rRNA from 1 species